ACCAGGUACUUUUCCUGAUCUCUACGAAGCAAAUAACCACAUUAUUCCUAUCUUAUAUUACAUAUAUCGCGUUGAAGCAAAGAAUAAAAGAAAUUUAGAUGAAAGAAAAGUAAAAAUUUUUGUUUUAAUUAACAAUAGUGAGGAAAACAAAAUGAUUAUGCUUCUCUUCUAUCGUUAUCAUUAGCAAUGAUGAAGAAUACAAUCUAGCUUUAAGAACAUCGAACCACAACAGCCAAUCAAGUAAUCAGACUACAACGAAAAAAAACCCACCAAGAAUCAUCUCUCAAUAACAUCGUUAACUCCAUUAGGUUGCUAAAAUGGCGAAGAAAAAGAAAAGCAAAUUAUCUCUAUAGAAUAUGGCAUUCAUUUCCUAAACGAAUAAAGAACCACUUUAGUCAUUUUAUGAUCAUACUGAAUUAAUCAGGAUUUAUAGAGAAUUGAAAACAAAAUAGAAUCUUUAUGCACAAACCUGAACAUUUUUAUCACCAACAA
rnacentral:misc_RNA from 1 species